GAUGAACGCUGGCGGCGUGCUUAACACAUGCAAGUCGAGUGAGAAAAGUUCUUCGGAGCUUUUCUAGCGGCGGACGGGUGAGUAACACGUGGGCAACCUGCCUCAUAGAGGGGAAUAGCCUUCCGAAAGGAAGAUUAAUACCGCAUAACAUUGUUGAAAGGCAUCUUUUAACAAUCAAAGGAGCAAUCCGCUAUGAGAUGGGCCCGCGGCGCAUUAGCUAGUUGGUGAGGUAACGGCUCACCAAGGCGACGAUGCGUAGCCGACAUGAGAGGGUGAUCGGCCACAUUGGAACUGAGACACGGUCCAGACUCCUACGGGAGGCAGCAGUGGGGAAUAUUGCACAAUGGGGGAAACCCUGAUGCAGCAACGCCGCGUGAGUGGUGAAGGUCUUCGGAUUGUAAAGCUCUGUCUUUAGGGACGAUAAUGACGGUACCUAAGGAGGAAGCCACGGCUAACUACGUGCCAGCAGCCGCGGUAAGAC
rnacentral:rRNA from 1 species